UACGGGGGGGGGCAAGCGUUGUUCGGAAUUACUGGGCGUAAAGGGCUCGUAGGUGGCCAACUAAGUCAGACGUGAAAUCCCUCGGCUUAACCGGGGAACUGCGUCUGAUACUGGAUGGCUUGAGUGUGGGAGAGGGAUGCGGAAUUCCAGGUGUAGCGGUGAAAUGCGUAGAUAUCUGGAGGAACACCGGUGGCGAAGGCGGCAUCCUGGACCAUUACUGACACUGAAUAGCGAAAGCCAGGGGAGCAAACCGGGG
rnacentral:rRNA from 1 species